AGCUCUGGGGUGUGGAGAACGCCCCCCCCCCCCGCCAGAGGAGCCAAGAGCGAGGGAACCGCUGCGACCGGAUCCUCGCCUGAGGAAGAGACUCCUGGAGCUGUAACACUUACAUGGCUAGCGGCAGAUACUAGAAAUUUGACAGUGUAACCGUCCUGGGAUGAGGAAGGUGCCUAUGAAGUUCCUAUGAAAACCCAUUCAGAUGUGGUUGAACUAUGAGCUGUGAAAACUGUAACAUUUUCUAGGCAGCAUUCAUAAUAAAGGACAGCUGACAAGUUG